rnacentral:lncRNA from 1 species
GGUGUGGGCAGUAUCUGCUCAGUACAGGCAUGUUCCUAGAGCUGCAGAUGAAAAAGGAAAGAUGGAAAACGAAAUAUGUAUCCCUGAUGAAACCAAAGACAAAAGAUCACAGGUAUUUCUGCUGCAGGGCUGGGGAAACCUCAUGUUGGCAUAUCAGGAAGUAUUUUGCUAUUUUGCUGCUACAGCAAGGUUCAAGCACCUUCUAAAUGCAGCUCCACCAAGUGGAGCUCUACUAGCAUGAAAGCUUUUGGGACAGUUGUUCAUGCUAAACAUCUAUGAAAUUUUGGGGGAUAGUCUCCCUCACCCCUGUACAUGCAACCUUACAAGGCAGAAUUUUGAGUUUUGUGCUUUAAUUUAUUAUAAAAAUGUGCAUAUUUGCAGUCUGAGUCAGAUCUGAGCUCCUCUACUGAAGACAAGCUUUCUGAACUAAUUCCUCUUCCAAUCCUGCCAGCUGGGCAGGGUGUUGAUAAGAAAUUGGCCACUGAAGCUUCUCGUGAGUGCAUGAUGGCCACAGAUGUUCUCCAGCCUGCUAAGUAGGUUUUAAAUGGGAGAAGGAGAAAAAAAAAAUUAAAAAGUGUAUGUCUUCCUUCAGUAUGAGGAAGCUGACCUGUGGAAGGGGAGAGGACGUGUCUAACAACAUCAUCAUCUUCUCAACACAACGGAGAAGAAUGCACUUGAUUGCAUCCUGCAAGCUCUGCCAUUAUUGUUCCUGGGUGGAUCCGGCGGGUGACCUGACUCCGUACCAGUGCUCCUGCAGCUGCCCCGGCCCCUCUCAAGCCCACCAACUCGUCCCCCUUAGGCCAGACCUGCUCCGCUGGGGCCGUAAUUGUGCCAUAGUCCACAGAAAAGAAUCUUCCUCUGCCUCCACCAAGGCCUCCCACAGCUGCCCUCCUUCUUGAUCUUGCUGGGAACGUCUGGAUUUAUGGCAGUGCAGACUGUUCCCUGCCAGAAGUGGGGCAGUAGCUUCCUUGCAUCGAGGAGCAUCAAGCAGAGGCAAGCCAGGCUGGGAGGAGACGCAGGCUGAUCGCUCCAUGUCACCCUCUUAAUUUAUCAGCCACUGCCAUGGAGAACAAGACUGAUGGAAGGGGAAGACUCUUUCAAAGAAACACCCAGGAGGAUGUAAAAUGUCUUUUAAAUUGGGAGGAGGGGCCUCCUUGUAAAUCAGCACUUUCCUGCUCAUAUUUUAGUGAGAGGCUUCCACAAAGUGUCCUCCUGGUGUGGCUUUCUAUAUGAGCAUGUCCCUAAACAGAGCAGCAGGGAUGGGAAGUGAUUUGUCUCCCAGGUUUGGUGCUUGUUCUUUUGACCAGAACCAAGAAAGAGGGAAAUAUCAACGACUUCUCAUACGUGUACUAAGUGCUCGUGUUGUGGUUGUUCAUAUUGUCUUUCCUGG